GACGAACGCUGGCGGCGUGCUUAACACAUGCAAGUCGAACGGAAAGGCCCUGCUUGCAGGGUACUCGAGUGGCGAACGGGUGAGUAACACGUGGGUGAUCUGCCCUGCACUUCGGGAUAAGCCUGGGAAACUGGGUCUAAUACCGGAUAGGAGCCAUUUUUAGUGUGAUGGUUGGAAAGUUUUUUCGGUGUAGGAUGAGCUCGCGGCCUAUCAGCUUGUUGGUGGGGUAUGGCCUACCAAGGCGGCGACGGGUAGCCGGCCUGAGAGGGUGGACGGCCACAUUGGGACUGAGAUACGGCCCAGACGCCUACGGGAGGCAGCAGGGGGGAAGAUUGCACAAUGGGCGCAAGCCGGAUGCAGCGACGCCGCGUGGGGGAUGACGGCCUUCGGGUUGUAAACUCCUUUCGCGAGGGACGAAGCUUUUUGUGACGGUACCUAGAUAAGAAGCACCGGCUAACUACGUG
rnacentral:rRNA from 1 species